UGAUGACGAGACGCUAAGGCGUUGAAGCAGUGUAUGUCAGACUUCCAAGAAAAGCUCGCAAUGUCACAAAUAAAAAUGCCUGUACCAUAACCGACACAGGUGGGUAGGUAGAGUAUACUAAGGGGCGCGAGAUAACUCUCUCUAAGGAACUCGGCAAAAUGACUCCGUAACUUCGGGAGAAGGAGUGCCUUAUUUAUAAGGUUGCAAUAACAAGAUCCAAGCAACUGUUUAUCAAAAACACAGGUCUCCGCUAAGUCGUAAGACGAUGUAUGGGGGCUGACGCCUGCCCAGUGCCAGAAGGUUAAAGAAGUUGGUUAGUGUAUGCGAAGCUGAUGACUGAAGCCCUGGUGAACGGCGGCCGUAACAAUAACGGUCCUAAGGUAGCGAAAUUCCUUGUCGGGUAAGUUCCGACCCGCACGAAAGGCGUAAUGAUUUGGAUACUGUCUCGGAGAGAGGCUCGGUGAAAUAGACUUGUCUGUGAAGAUGCGGACUACCUGCACCAGGACAGAAAGACCCUAUGAAGCUUUACUGUAACUUGAAAUUGGAAUUGGACUUUGCUUGCGCAGUAUAGGUGGGAAGCGUUGAAAAUAUUCUUGCGGGAGUAUUGGAGCUAUCAGUGAGAUACCACUCUUGUAAUGUUAGAUUUCUAACUUUGAACCAUAAUCUGGUCAAAGAACAGUUUCAGGUGGGCAGUUUGACUGGGGCGGUCGCCUCCCAAAUGGUAACGGAGGCGUACAAAGGUUUCCUCUGAACGGAUAGAAAUCGUAUCUAGAGUGUAAAGGCAUAAGGAAGCUUGACUGUGAGACCUACAAGUCGAGCAGGGACGAAAGUCGGUCUUAGUGAUCUGACGGUACUGAGUGGAAAGGCCGUCACUCAACGGAUAAAAGUUACUCUAAGGAUAACAGGCUGAUCUCCCCCAAGAGUUCACAUCGACGGGGAGGUUUGGCACCUCGAUGUCGGCUCAUCGCAUCCUGGGGCGGUAGUACGUCCCAAGGGUUGGGCUGUUCGCCCAUGAAAGCGGUACGCGAGCUGGGUUCAGAACGUCGUGAGACAGUUCGGUCCAUAUCCGGUGUAGGCGCUAGAAUAUUGAGAGGAGCCUUCUUUAGUACGAGAGGACCGAGAAGGACACACCGCUGGUGUACCGGUUAUCGUGCCAACGGUAAACGCUGGGUAGCUAUGUGUGGAGUGGAUAACCGCUGAAAGCAUCUAAGUGGGAAGCCCACCUCGAGAUGAGUAUUCUCAUC
rnacentral:rRNA from 1 species